rnacentral:lncRNA from 1 species
GAUCAACUGACCAUUUCGGUCAUGUUGACUUAUUUGUAAAUCUUACUUUGCUGAACAUUAUUGCUGUUUACAGUUUAUCUCUAUCUAUAAUAAUAUUCAAGAUAAUAACCAAAAACAGCAAAAUUUCCUUAAAAUUACCAAUUCAGGGGCAUCAACCCAACAACGGGUUGUCCGAUUCAUCUGAAAAUUUCAGGGCAGAUAGAUCUUGACCUGAUAAACAAUUUUACCCCAUGUCAGAUUUGCUCUAAAUGCUUUGGUUUUUGUGUUAUGAGCCAAAAACUGCAUUUUACCCCUAUGUUCUAUUUUUAGCCAUGGCGGCCAUCUUGGUUGGUUGGCCGGGU